rnacentral:rRNA from 1 species
UAUCGGAUUGAUACUAAGCCAUGCGAGUCAUUGUAGCAAUACAAGGCAUACGGCUCAGUAACGCGUAGUCAACCUACCCUAUGGACGGGAAUAACCUCGGGAAACUGAGUAUAAUGCCCGAUAGAACACUAUUCCUGGAAUGGUUUGUGUUCCAAAUGAUUUAUCGCCGUAGGAUGGGACUGCGGCCUAUCAGUUUGUUGGUGAGGUAAUGGCCCACCAAGACUAUUACAGGUACGGGCUCUGAGAGGAGUAGCCCGGAGAUGGGUACUGAGACACGGACCCAGGCCCUAUGGGGCGCAGCAGGCGAGAAAACUUUGCAAUGUGCGAAAGCACGACAAGGUUAAUCCGAGUGGUUUGUGCUAAACGAACCUUUUGACAGUCCUAGAAACACUGUUGAAUAAGGGGUGGGCAAGUUCUGGUGUCAGCCGCCGCGGUAAAACCAGCACCUCAAGUGGUCAGGAUGAUUAUUGGGCCUAAAGCAUCCGUAGCCGGCUCUGUAAGUUUUCGGUUAAAUCUGUACGCUCAACGUACAGGCUGCCGGGAAUACUGCAAAGCUAGGGAGUGGGAGAGGUAGACGGUACUCGGUAGGAAGGGGUAAAAUCCUUUGAUCUAUUGAUGACCACCUGUGGCGAAGGCGGUCUACCAGAACACGUCCGACGGUGAGGGAUGAAAGCUGGGGGAGCAAACCGGAUUAGAUACCCGGGUAGUCCCAGCUGUAAACCAUGCAAACUCAGUGAUGCAUUGGCUUGUGGCCAAUGCAGUGCUGCAGGGAAGCCGUUAAGUUUGCCGCCUGGGAAGUACGUACGCAAGUAUGAAACUUAAAGGAAUUGGCGGGGGAGCACCACAAGGGGUGAAGCCUGCGGUUCAAUUGGAUUC